UAUAGAAGGGAGAGCGCGGAGGAGUCUACAAGCCCGCGCUUCUCCAUGCCCUGAAGGAGUACGCACCCUGCAUGUCACAGAAGGACCUUCCUCAAUGUCCCAACAGAACAGGAACAUGAUCACCACUGCCAUGUCUCUCGUGACAUCAGCCCAGUGUGUCCCCCGUGUGCUACUUCUGGUCUGGACCACCACCAGACGUUGCUGCGGCUUCAUCUGAGCUGAGUCAAGCACACAUUCAAAAUGUGAUAAGCCCUGUAAUAAUGGGAGAAGGUGGCCUCAGGCAUGCCAUUGUGUAAUAACAGCUAAAUAGUGAGCUGUUUGAAGUGAAGUGGAGCUGGAGCUGUUCUCCUUUGCCUCUGCUGGGUUAUCUUGAGUGUGAAAUAAAAGCCAAAAUUUCCAAGGUACUAGUGACCGCAAGUGAGGUUUCUAAGAGCAGAACUCCUAAGGGAAAAAAUCAAAAAACCUCUCUAAUCCUGACUUCCAGGAACAAAAAAAAAUAAUAAUAAUGGUGUCCCUGCUCUAUGAAAAACUGAUCCCUUCACAGUAUUUUGGGCAGGAUUUCUCAAAUCACCUUCACGUAUGUAAACCUAGGCCUGGAUGUCUUCUAUUUCAGGGCUUAAACUUAUGGUUCAUUCUCUUAUGUUACACCCCAAUGGUGUUAAUAAUUUUUUUUCAAGCAUUGUUAGGGCUCAUCUAUGCUCUUUGGAUAGCUCCAUACUGAAAUCAGCACCAGCUUGUCAACUCUCUGCCAUGAGGAAAGGUGAACUGACCCCCCUAAUGGAGAGGCAGGAAGACCUCACCUGUGCCUCCUUCCUUCUUCCAGGUGUGGGGAUUGAGGUGUGGAGGAUGGAGGCAGCUGAACAGUGGGGCUCUGUAUAAAGGAGCCCUGCUGGGACUGAGCCUUCAAAGGCUGGAGGAAGAAGAUCGAGAAAUAAGAAAACGUAGGCUGUUGCUGAUGUGAUGUGCUGGGGGAUGAUAGGCUGCAGCAAAACGCUUAGUGUUACAGCUAGGGAACUGAAUGUCAGCAGUUGUGUUCUGUGGGUUAGGCCGCUGUUUAAGUCUUGUAAACAGCUGCUAGAUAAAAGGGGAAGUGGAUGUAUUUGGAAAUUACCUAUUAUGACUGGUACCAUCUAGGGGAAGGGGAGCAUAACAUAGCACGGUCUGCUCUCAGGGAAGAAAUAUAAUUUUGCUGAGGAGGGGAUUAACUUUUUGCAAUUCUCCCUAGCUUCUAGCUGUUUUCUGGGAUUAGGUAUGCUCUGGUGAGAGAGGAAAAGGUCUUAGGGUAUGGGAUUAGGAACCAGAGUAAUCCUGAGGCUCUACAGCUUGUACGUAUUUCUGAAAGUCUGGAAUAUCCUGUCCUCAGGGAAAGGAUGCGACUUGGUUUCUAUGGCCAUAUAUGGCAAUGAGGGCUUCAGAAGUCUUCCCUUCCUGAUGAUGUGGGUAAUCUGAUCUCCUACAUGUCAUGUCUUGCUUAUUGCUGGGAUACCAUCAGGGUCUCGAAGCUUGUGAAUUGUUCUGUGGGACAUAGCUCUGUCUGAAGGCUUCUGUGCCCCCCUCCCAAGGGUCUGAGGGAAGCUUUGUUUCUAGGUCUCUGCACCUAAUGGGGAUCUGUAGGCUCUUCCUACACCAGAGCAGCUCAGCUGCAAGGUCCUGUUGGCCCAAGCCAGGACAUUCUCAGCUGGUGACCUUGCAGGCACUGUGCUGGAGGGCAGAGCUUAGGCAGUGUCAUCUGAGGAGCUGGAGGCUAGGGCCACCCUGUGAUAGAUCUGUCCCUGAGCUGCUAUCUUGGUUGGGUGAUUUCAGACUUAGGAGUGUUUGUAUGCUCGUGGUGCCUGGCCAGUUCAUUUCACUUAGGUAACCCCUGCGCUCCUCCCGUGUCAGAGCGUGUGAUGUGCAUCCAUCAGCUGGUUUCCUUGUUGCUGGUAUCAGUCCUUAUCGCCCGUGAAGUUUACUGUUCUUUGGUUUCUGUGGUCAGCCAAAGAUUCAGUAACUCUCUGGCCCUGCUGUUUGCAGACAAACAGAAAAUCUGGCACUUUUUGUUAGUGUGACCCAUGUCCCUGUGGUAGUUGACAGGCUGUCUGAGGUAAAAUUGCAGGAUGUUUGAUCUUCAAACAGUGUCCAUAGGGAAUCUUACUAGCUCUGAACAGCUACUGUCUCCUUUGAUAUCUGAAGAGUAGAUAUCCUAGCUGAAAGGUUUCCAAUAACUAUAUUUUCCUUGCUGUUUCAUCACUACGCAAAUAAAGCACACAGCAAACCUUGUAUUGCUUAAUUAUCUAUAUUUUUUUAAAGCAUUUUGAUCUGGAGUUGACUUCCCAUCUCACCUGCAAAAUGUUCUUAGGCAAAGUGCCAUAACCAAUAGGCCUUGGGAUGUUUCAAAAUAACUGAUCCCCUAAGCCUCUGGUGAUGGAGGGCAGUUCCAGUAUUCCUUAACACGUGCAGCAACAUCGCCUAAGCUGCAGCAGGGGUGUGUUGUACAAGGCCCUGUGAGGUGGGGACUAAUCCCUCCUGUGACGAAGGAGCAAGAGGACACGGCUAAGGUUCCUCUGCAGGUCACUGGCUGCAUGCGAAGGAGCAUCCAAACUUCCUGAGCCCUAGACUAUGUUCACGUUUCAUGCAUCGGGGGGGGGGGGGGGGGAACUUUGAUCUUCAAUGAGAAUGAAGGAGGCAAGGGGGAAGUGCGAACUUGUGCCGCUGCUGGUGGAGGAGCUGGUAUGUUCACCUCGGUUGCAUGUAGGGCCAGACCAGAGACACUUCUCUGGGGCGAGGGAGUGGAUGUCCCUGGAGUUUUAACGUGAGUGGGUGUAUUGUUUGGUACAGGUUCCCUCAUCCACUCUAUCUGCACUGUAACUAAUUUAGCUCCUAAACUGCUGGCAUUAAUCGUGAGGCUCUUGAUGGCUUCUCUCUAGUAACUCUGGUGGUGCAGCCUUGGAGAACUCCCACGCGAUACUUGGGGCUUUCUCAAUGCCUCCCUGCCAGGACAAAGUGCCAUCUGCUUGUGUGCCCAGCUGCUGGCAGCAGCAGUUUGGCAGCAUUAGAGGCACGGCAGCCAGGCCAUCAAUACCCACUUGCUGAUGCACGGGGGGGAGGCAGAGGACAGGUGUUAUCUCCUGAAGUAGGAAGGCUUCUGUUUGAAACAGGGGGAUUUGAUAACAUUUUGGCACUGAUAGGGAGCAUUUGGAAAGGAGUCCCCUUAGCAUGUCGGAUGUCACCAAGCGUAAGCUUUCCCUGAAGUCUGAGGUAGAGGUUGAAGUGUCAAAGCUAAGCAAAAUGUUCAGGACCGUCUCAGCACAAUUGACAUCACCUGUUUCACACAGACAAAGAGAUAGGAGGAAAAAAAGGAAAGUGAGAUUUGAGAACUUCAGAAAUGCUGAAUCUGCAUAGUUUCCCUGGACACCAGUGGCAGCCCUGAGACAUCACCUGUGGAGACACCUGAAAUAAGCACAUUCUGUAGAAGAAUUGCAGGCUGAAGUGACAGGCUGCUUCUGUAGAAAGUCUAAUGGCGAGGUUGUGUCUGACAGUCUGGGGUCCCCUGCCACACAAUGAAGCAUGCAGAGAAGACACAUAGGUGAUGGAGCAGAUGGCAGCUGGCUUCCCUCACGUGGGACCUUCUCCCUUUGCCCUUACAAUACGCAUGUGGUUCCUGUCAAAUCCUUCUGCAGGGCUGGCUUUGACUGCAUUUUUUACAGCACGUUCUGGGGAGGAAUAUAUUCCCCACACCCACCAGUUCCCUCUGGCAAGCAGUGGCAAGGAUUUUGUGUGGAUUUCAACAGACCAUUUCAUGGCCAGUGGCUUGUUUGGUCAAAGAAGCUGUCCUAUGCUAACACCAUCAGUCCUAGUGGUGUCUGCAGGACCCAGCACCGAUAUCUGAGUGCCACGCUGUCUUUAAUAUGUUUCUUCCAAACAAGUGUUAUAAAUUCCUUUUUCCUUGUUAGCAGAAGACAUAGAUCACAACUUCUAUUUCUUAAAAUAUCUUUUAUUAGCUGUUGUUAUUAAUAGAAUCAAGCUGUUAUGUGAAGAGUUACCUGCUAUUACUAAUAACACGUUCACUUGCAUAUUCAUUCAUGCUCACUGUUACCCAGCUGGAGCAACUGUUGGGAGGCCAACCCCAACAGGCACACUUGGAAGCAGAAGGUCAUCCUGAUGCACCAGUGGUUUCUAGCAGGUCUCAAUUAGACUGGCUGCUCUGUGAGAGGCACUGGCUCAGUCUGGCAGCUUCGCCAAUGGUCUCAGUUCGCUUCUCUUGCUUUCGCCCAGAGGAGUCUGCUGCUGAAGGAGGAAACACCUUUCCUGGCUGCACAGCGAGGGUCUCCAAAGAAACCUGGGCUGUAGUUUGUGCAUAGUUGGCAAGACUGAAUAUAAUGCCAGCCAGCGAACCAGGAGAGAGGAGUUAUCAUCUUGGGUGUCUCCACAGUGGAGGAAAGGGGUGAGUGCUCUGCAACUCUUCCUUAUUCAAGCCCUAAUUUUUCCCCUCCAUGGAGCCUGAACCUCCAAGAGGUUCCUGGCCUGAGCAGCCAAAGUGGCUGGGAAUAAGUGUUGGGCUAUGGGACACUGGAAUAAAGAAGUCUGUGAGCUACCGAAGAGGCUCCUGAGCAACAUCCCAUGGGCCAUGCCUUUUUUCCCUGCUGCAGGCUGGCUUUCAGUGCGACUUGACCAGCCAGCAAGGAGAGGAGAAACCAGCCUGCCUGAUCACUCAGCAGCUUGGUGCUCUGACCUGUGUCAUGGUCAGCUGUGCAGGAACCACAGGGGGACCUGGCUGGUGUAACCAAGAAAAUGGAGGGAGUUGGGUUUUUAGAAGGAACUGAUACGGAGAAACAAUUUGUGCCUCUCUCAGGCAUGUUGUGGUGGGGAAGGAAUGACUUUAGACACUUUUUUUUUUUUCUUGUGGAGAAAAAUGAGAGGGUUGUGCUGCUGUGCUUGGCAGCUAGCUGUGUAGGUAGCUGUUACCUGCGAUGAUGGAGGGGAGGUCAGCAGUGUGCAGGUUAACACACAUUGCACAUCUUUACAUUGCUGGUAUUUUGUGGCAGAUAUCAAAAGUGUUCAGAAGUUCCACGCAAUUAGAAAUUAAGAACAGGUGGUGGUUUGCAGUUCAUGUGAUAAAAUGCAUAAACCAGGAGGAAAGUGUGAAAAGGCUAAGCUGACAUUUCAGUAAAGCAGAGCCACUAGCUGUGGAUUUAAGUGCUAAUAUAAGUGGUGCUGGUCGUUUCACAAAGUCAGGUUCCUUAUCCAGUUAUUGCAGAGCUUCCAUUUGGGAAAUCAGAGCCAUGUGCAGCCCUUAUUGACAGAUCUUGCUUUGCAUGUGCUAUGUUACGGUUUGCAAUGCCAGGUACUUUUUUUUAUUGUUUGACUAUGUCACUGAUUGCCAUCGCUGGCUGUGUCUAUUGUGCCAUUUGCUAUCUGUCAAGCUCCCACCCACGCUAUCCUGAUGGCUCAAUCAAAAGCUCUCCAGCAACUUGGUUAUUUCUUGUCCUCUGCUGCCAGGUCCUCAUAGAUGGUACUCUUGUAAUCACUAUCUUGCAGUAAGAACAGUUUUGCACCAACAUCCCCAUCUCUCUCAACACGAAGAGGUGCCUAGCCCUGUCCUCUCAGCCAUGGAAAAGCUAUUUCCAAAUGCAGGAGAAAGGAGGCAGAUUUGCAGUAGUUGUAAAUCUGAGCUUCUGCUGAGAGGUGCCUUAACAACGCCAGCUGGCCUGGAGCAUCUCAGGAUUUUUCACUGAGGAUGGGGGAAUUAUCUUUAAACUAAAGGGGUGAAGGGAUUGUAUUUAAACUAAUACUGUCUAAAUGAGCACUGUUCUCCUUUACUGCUGCACGGGGGUCCUUCAUGACCGCGAACCAGCUCUUCGUGUUGAGGGAAGUAGCACUUUCUCCAUAGCAGCCCUUUUACAGAGGGGAUCUGGGGACAUUUAACAGGCUAAUGUGCUCUGAAGUGGGGUUUGCAUGAAAGAUACAGUGCCUGAUCCCAGCCUGACCUUGUAAAUAUUUACUAUUUGAUAUGCCCUGAGCAGUCCUAUACAUGUGAGCAUGGCAAUGGACAGCAAGAACAUUUAUAAGUAUGUGGGUGUUACUGCCCUUUGUGCUCAAGCUGGUGCCAAAAGGCCAGAAAAGCUAUAUCUGCCCUGCCUCUUGGAGACCAGAGGUCAGAGGCCAUUGGCACUGACACCAUGUGCUACGCCCAGGCAAACAUUUGGGUUAGAAACGUCUGUAUGUGCUGGCCAUGCAGAAUGGAGAUGUAUCGUUAUUGUGCAACUAAAGGGCAAAGAGACUGUCCUCAGCAUUUGCUGAGCUUAGCAUUCGCCUGUGGCACAGCUCAGUGAUGUGCUGCCGGGCAGCAUGGCAGUCAGGAGACAGGAGAGUUUCUCCAGCCACGGAGCAAUCUGUUAUAGCACAACACGAUACUGGGGCUGAAUGAACCUAACUCAGCAGGGCAGGUAAAUUCAGCUGAGAUGGUUACUGACAACGACCUGCCAGGCGUGUAGUGAUGCUUGCAGUAUGUGCUGUACCCGCUCAGGUAGAAGAAGGGGCUGGCAGUAAACGUGCUGCUGAGGAAUGAAAAGGCCUCCAGUUCCCAUGGCAGAGGCGUUUACUGCUGUGCUGUGCUGUUCCGUUAGCUCAGGACAUCCAGAUGAGGAUGCAGGCACAGAACAAAUAUUAGGAGAGCUGUACCUUGACCCAUCUACCAUUCAAAAGCAUUAAAUAUUUAGAUGUGCAGUCAGAAAUGAUUUCAAUCUCUUGACAGAAAACCUCCUGGGAGAGGGUGCUUUUGUUUCAGUGCUUACUGCAGUGCCCUCUCAUUGCACAGGAACUGGGUUCUGGUAAGGGUUUAGUUUAAAGCAGCAAAGGAUGGGAUAUUGUUUGGGUCCAGUUUUCCUCAGAGGCUGAGGGAUAGCCGAAGUCCCUGGAGACUUGCCUUGUCAGCAUCACAGAAACAGAAGCAGCUGAACUCCAAAUGCAGCAGAUAAGACGAGUUUCAUACCACAGCCAUAAACAUCCCUAACCAAACUAUGGCUCCCCUGUGUUAGAUGUGAAGUCUCUUCUCCAGAGACCACAGCAGAAAAUCUAAGGAGCAGGAAAGCAGCAUCUGUGCCAGUUCCCGGAGGAUGAGGAGACAUACCCAGUGUCAUGGAGGAAGCCAAUGGCAGAGUGGGAAGCAAAUAAAUGCAUUAGUUAGUGACUCAGACUCCAGGCUGGCCCAGCCCAAGGGGUGUGAACCUGCGUCAUCCUCCUGACCAGCUAAAUUCCACUGAGGGGACCUCUUGCCAGCGGAUAAUGUGGUCCCAUCAGAGCUGAAAUGCUGCCAGAAACCAGAAAUAUCAUCUUGAAGAAGAAAGAAAAAGGGAGAAAAUCAUUCUGUCCAUAUUGAAAUGCUGCGGUUUGGGUAUUUUCAAAAUGAAAUGUUUCUAGCUUCUGCUUGGAAAAGACUUUCCAGCUGUAUUUCUGUGCAAGAGAACUGAUUGUAUAUAUUAUAAUGGAAGGAUUCAAAAUCUAAAAUAAAGGAAGGGAAACACUCAAAACUGAAAGACAGAACUCCCUCAAAAACAACCAACCAGACAACAGCUGGGAAAUCCCAGCUCUUUGUCUGUAAAUCAAUCUGAAAAGACCAAGGAGAUUUUCCUUUGAUUUUCCACUGUCAGGUUCAUCCUGCAUCCAAACGAAAGCUCUUACUGGUAUAUGUAAUUUCUGCAAAACAGGAAUGUCCAAUUUUAUGCACUUUUCACACAUCCCCUUAUGCUUUGCCUGCACAUGACUCAGCUGAAUUGGAGAGAUUAGAGACAAAGAAAAUUCUCACAAACACAGAAAAUAAAUCCCAUAUGGAUAUUAAAACAAAGCUAGUGCAUCAUUAGCAGUGCUUUUAAAGAGCCUUGAUAUUUCCUGAAAACUCCCAUGUGUCUGCAAUAUCUUCCACAACAUCAAUCCUAGCAUGUUACAUGGUCAUUAGUCCAAAGAACAUACU